rnacentral:tRNA from 1 species
GAGGGUAUAGCUCAGGGGUAGAGCGUGUGCUUAGCAUGCACCAGGUCCUGGGUUCAAUCCCCAGUACCUCCA